rnacentral:lncRNA from 1 species
UUGCUCAGAAAAAGAGUCAAUAACUAUCUUCAAAAUGGAUUGUAUUUUCAUAUUCUUCAUGUAAUUUUUUUGUUGUAUUUAAGUAUGAACGGUAAAUUUUGCUUUUUUAGCUUUUAGUAAUUUUAUUAUGUUUCAUAAGUGCUAAUGAAUAUUUUGUGAUAAUUAUAACAUCUCAUAAAUUUUGUUCUUUUUGAACUUUUAUUAGCAUACUUAUGAAAUGAAUAUAGUUUGAAGGUGUUAAGUAUACAACUAAAAUAUUUGUUGAAUUGGAAUGCUUCUGUUUAUUUUUAAAAUGCAAUAUUGAGAAUCAAAACUUUUUUCAAGAGAAUCAUAGGUUCCAUUUUAUCUCGUCAUAAACAGAUAUACAUAUUUUUAGAAUCUAUCUUGGCAAAAUGAUACUAAUGUUCUGCAGGAUUUAUUUACAUGUCUUCCUUCGUGUAUUUUGUUUUUCUCACAAUUUCAAGUUUGGUUUUUCAAAUUCACUUUUAAACUUGUAAAUUUUGGGCAAGUGGUUGAGAAUGAAAGCCUUAUUGCUUUUUAAAUUAUGGCACAUGUAUAGUAGAGCAGAUUCUGUAACUAAAGAAAGUGCGGGAAAAAUAGUUCACUGAUAGGCUAAGUAAGAUACAGGAAAGUCCUGAUGGUCUGAUUUGAAACUGGGAACUCUGAUAUUAAGAAAAGGGUUCUUCUCAGAAGUUCGACCUUAAAGCCUUUGGGCUAACUUAAGUAUUACUAUUUGUAUUUAAAUAAUUACAUGGUGGGUUUUAGAAAGGCUGGCUGUCCUGCCCCUUUGGUGUUCAUAUGCAUUCCCCAGCCUGAUGCUUUAAAAGCCUUGCCACUGCCCUGCUUGUGGACACUAAUCAUCUCUUUUUCUUGUAUCCAGAGUGACUGUGAUUCAGGUAAUUGAGCACCAUGAUUGGAAAAAAGAUUUUAGGUUUAUUUCCCCUCCAUUUUUAUGUGUACAUUUUGUUGUUUCAUUCAGAAGUUGGAUUUACUUUACAAAAUGACUUAAUUUUCAUAUUGUGGUCAUGUUUGUGUAAACUUCAAACUAUUUUGUUAAUUUUUGGCACUUCCUAUAUAUAAUUCUAGUAAUGCUUGAAUGUACACUUAAAUAUGAAGUAGGAUUAAGUCAGCUGCUGUGUUUAAAGAAUGCUGUUAAGAACAAGCAUUCAAAACUGUAUAGGAAGGUAUUAGCUUAAGAGUAGGUAAGAUACCGUGACUGUAUCUGCAG